GACCGCUGGGUAAGAAAGUUGGGUUAAUUUAACCCAAUUUUGGGUUAAAACUGGUCUUAAUUUAUAACCCAGCGGUGCUGGGUUAGGAACGCGGACUCGAGAGAGAGCAGGCACGUCGUGUCCACUGUACGUCAAAAAGUGCGAGAAGCGGCCAUUUUCUCAGCGUCUGCAGAUGGAAGCGAGUGAAGGACGAUUUUCGACUUGUUGAGCUUCGAGUCUUCAUUUUGUCCGCGCCGGGAGUUAACGGCAGGGAAGACCGCGUGUGAGAGGAGGCGAUCGGCUCGGCUUCUUCAGAAGAGACGGAAAGACAAAUAGAGAACUCAACUUUGAGGCUAACACCACAGGCACCUACUUGUGUGAGGAGGCGAUUUUUCUGAGCUUUAGAAAAGAGGGAAAAGUGAUUUAAGGCAA